GUGUGUGUGUGUAAGAUAAAUAAAAAACAUUUUCUAACAAAAAAGCAUGCUAUUAAAAUGAAUCAUCUUUUACAUAACUUUUUAAAAUC